AUGUGCACCAGGAGCAGAGUAGGAGCCAGGCACAAGAAGCAUCAGUGUGGGAGAGGAAGGCCAAAUGAGUCCAAGGAACGUCCUGUACUUCCCACUUGGAGAGAAGGGGGAGCAGAAGCCCCCCCAGGGGCACGAGCCAGGUCAGCUGCUGUCACUGGAGAGACAUGGCUGGGCAGCUGGCAUCACAGGUCUGGCAGAACAGCAGCCGCUAACCCCCAGUUUGUAUCCAUGGCAGUGCUCCUUCGCUCUGUGUAAUGUCUGCCCGUAACCCAUCCACCAUCACUGGCUCCGUUUACCUCCUCUCAUAACCGCAUCUCUCCCCUGUCGGAUGAAAGGCUCACUCCCUUGGAUAGCUGUUAAAAUGGCUUCCUUGUUAAGGGAAUGUGUCUUUGUUUAGCCCUUAUUAUCAAAGGAUUUUUUCCUUGAUGUUCUAAAGUUUCAGGAACACAGUUCGCCACUUCCGUGACAUAAUGUGUUCUUGUCCCACUGGUGCACUGCCAUCUGAGUUACGUCGCCCAUGACCUAUUACAUAGCUGCAGAUGGUUGCUUUAAGAUACGAAUCGAGCCAUAUCCCACCCAUCGCUUGGAAAUGUUGUGAUCUUUAGUUGUAUUGCUCUACCCUAUUGCCAACAACUUGUCAGUUUAUUUUGUUUGUUUUUAGUUUUUGAGAGAGGAGAGAUAGCGAGUGCGAGCUCAGGGAGGGGCCAAGGAAGAGAAAGAGAAUCUUAAGCAGGGUCCAUACUCAGCACAGAACCCGACACGGGGCUCCAUCCCAUGACACUUAGAUCAUGAACUGAGCUGAAACCAAGAGUCGGACACUCAACCGAGUGAGCCCCCCAGGCACCCCAACUUCUCAGAUUAUAGUCUGUCAAUUUGCAGACCAAAUUUUUUUUAUUUAUUUUUUUUUAUGAAAUUUAUUGGCAAAUUCGUUUCCAUACAACACCCAGGGCUCAUCCCAACAGGUGCCCUCCUCAAUGCCCAUCGCCCACCCCCCAUCAACCCUCAGUUUAUUCUCAGUUUUUAAGAGUCUCUUAUGGUUUGGCUCCCUUCCUCUCUAACUUUUUUUUUCCUUCCCCUCCCCCAUGGUCUUCUGUUAAGUUUCUCGGGAUCCACAUAAGAGUGAAAACAUAUGGUAUCUGUUUUUCUCUGUAUGGCUUAUUUCACUUAGCACAACACUCUCCAGUUCCAUCCACGUUGCCGCAAAAGGCCAUAUUUCAUUCUUUCUCAUUGGCACAUAGUAUUCCAUUGUGUAUAU
rnacentral:lncRNA from 1 species